GACGAACGCUGGCGGCGUGCCUAAUACAUGCAAGUUGAGCGAUGAAGAUUGGUGCUUGCACCAAUUUGAAGAGCAGCGAACGGGUGAGUAACGCGUAGGGAAUCUGCCUUUGAGCGGGGGACAACAUUUGGAAACGAAUGCUAAUACCGCAUAAUAACUUUAAACAUAAGUUUUAAGUUUGACAGAUGCAAUUGCAUCACUCAAAGAUGAUCCCGCGUUGUAUUAGCUAGUUGGUGAGGUAAAGGCUCACCAAGGCGAUGAUACAUAGCCGACCUGAGAGGGUGAUCGGCCACAUUGGGACUGAGACACGGCCCAAACUCCUACGGGAGGCAGCAGUAGGGAAUCUUCGGCAAUGGACGAAAGUCUGACCGAGCAACGCCGCGUGAGUGAAGAAGGUUUUCGGAUCGUAAAACUCUGUUGGUAGAGAAGAACGUUGGUGAGAGUGGAAAGCUCAUCAAGUGACGGUAACUACCCAGAAAGGGACGGCUAACUACGUG
rnacentral:rRNA from 1 species